GUGAGUUCAAAAACUGAAUUUAACCGAUGUUUACCUCAGACGACAGUUUUCGUUUCUGUGAUAAAUUCUGAGCUAAUUUUCUUGUUGUGUUUGAUCUUUUCCAUUGGCUGAAGAAUGCUGUGACAAAAAAGCAACCAGGACACCACAUCUGCAGUGACAGAGAGCAGGAUGGGGGAGGAAUCAGAAGGACCAGAAGAUAAUAUCAACUGGUG